UCAGCCAUGUUUGGAUUCCUUUUGGAGUU
rnacentral:piRNA from 1 species